rnacentral:rRNA from 1 species
UGGGGAAUAUUGCACAAUGGGCGCAAGCCUGAUGCAGCCAUGCCGCGUGUAUGAAGAAGGCCUUCGGGUUGUAAAGUACUUUCAGCGGGGAGGAAGGGAGUAAAGUUAAUACCUUUGCUCAUUGACGUUACCCGCAGAAGAAGCACCGGCUAACUCCGUGCCAGCAGCCGCGGUAAUACGGAGGGUGCAAGCGUUAAUCGGAAUUACUGGGCGUAAAGCGCACGCAGGCGGUUUGUUAAGUCAGAUGUGAAAUCCUCGGGCUCAACCUGGGAACUGCAUCUGAUACUGGCAAGCUUGAGUCUCGUAGAGGGGGGUAGAAUUCCAGGUGUAGCGGUGAAAUGCGUAGAGAUCUGGAGGAAUACCGGUGGCGAAGGCGGCCCCCUGGGCGAAGACUGACGCUCAGGUGCGAAAGCGUGGGGAGCAAACAGG